rnacentral:rRNA from 1 species
GGUCGAAGGACGUAGGUUGAUACAUAGGCAAAUCCGGGUAUCAUAAGACCGAGAUCUUACAGGCUCUUGACACUCUUCGGAGGAGAUGGAGAAUCGAUGAUACUGUCGUGCCAAGAAAAGCCACUAAGUAUAUUGUAUGUUGCCCGUACCGUAAACCGACACAGGUGGGUGGGAUGAGUAUUCUAAGGCGCGUGGAAGAACCCUGGUUAAGGAACUCUGCAAACUAGCACCGUAUCUUCGGUAUAAGGUGUGCCUACUUUGGUAUAUGGGCUUGCCCCAAAAAGCUAGAGAGGUUGCAACAAAGAGUCCCUCCCGACUGUUUACCAAAAACACAGCACUUUGCUAACACGUAAGUGGAUGUAUAAGGUGUGACGCCUGCCCGGUGCUCGAAGGUUAACUGAUGAUGUCAGCGCAAGCGAAGCAUUUGAUUGAAGCCCGAGUAAACGGCGGCCGUAACAAUAACGGUCCUAAGGUAGCGAAAUUCCUUGUCGGUUAAAUACCGACCUGCAUGAAUGGCGUAACGAGAUGGGAGCUGUCUCAACCAGGGAUCCAGUGAAAUUGUAGUGGAGGUGAAAAUUCCUCCUACCCGCGGAAAGACGGAAAGACCCCGUGCACCUUUACUACAGCUUGACACUGUAGCUUGGAUAUUCAUGUGCAGGAUAGGUGGGAGGCUAUGAUAUAUGGACGCAAGUACAUAUGGAGCCAUCCUUGAGAUACCACCCUUGAAUAUUUGAGUUACUAACUGCGACGAGUUAACCUCGUUCAGGACAAUGUCUGGUGGGUAGUUUGACUGGGGCGGUCGCCUCCUAAAAAGUAACGGAGGCUUACAAAGGUUAGUUCAAAGCGGUUGGAAAUCGCUUGUUGAGUAUAAUGGCAUAAACUAGCUUGACUGUGAGACAUACAAGUCGAACAGAGACGAAAGUCGGUCAUAGUGAUCCGGUGGUUCUGUGUGGAAGGGCCAUCGCUCAAAGGAUAAAAGGUACGCCGGGGAUAACAGGCUGAUCUCCCCCAAGAGCUCACAUCGACGGGGAGGUUUGGCACCUCGAUGUCGGCUCAUCGCAUCCUGGGGCUGUAGUCGGUCCAAGGGUAUGGCUGUUCGCCAUUUAAAGCGGUACGCGAGCUGGGUUCAGAACGUCGUGAGACAGUUCGGUCCCUAUCUUCCGUGGGCGUAGGAAAGUUGAAGAGAUUUGUCCCUAGUACGAGAGGACCGGGAUGAACGUACCACUGGUGUACCAAUUGUUCUGCCAAGAGCAUCGUUGGGUAGCUACGUACGGAUGUGAUAAGAGCUGAAAGCAUCUAAGCUCGAAGCCAACUCUAAGAUGAACUUUCCCUGAAGUUCCCAGCAAGACUAGCUGGUUGAUAGGCUGGAUGUGUAAGCGUUGUAAGACGUUUAGCU